GAGUUUGAUCGUGGCUCAGGAUGAACGCUGGCGGCGUGCUUAACACAUGCAAGUCGAACGAAGCGCCUUAUUUGAUUUUCUUCGGAACUGAAGAUUUGGUGACUGAGUGGCGGACGGGUGAGUAACGCGUGGGUAACCUGCCCUGUACAGGGGGAUAACAAUCAGAAAUGACUGCUAAUACCGCAUAAGACCACAGCACCGCAUGGUGCAGGGGUAAAAACUCCGUGGUACAGGAUGGACCCGCGUCUGGUUAGCUGGUUGGUGAGGUAACGGCUCACCAAGGCGACGAUCAGUAGCCGGCUUGAGAGAGUGAACGGCCACAUUGGGACUGAGACACGGCCCAAAACUCCUACGGGAGGCAGCAGUGGGGAAGUAUUGCACAAAUGGGGGAAACCCGUGAUGCAGCAACGCCGCGUGAGUGAAGAAGUAUUUCGGUAUGUAAAGCUCUAUCAGCAGGGAAGAAAGUGACGGUACCUGACUAAGAAGCCCGGCUAACUACGUGCCAGCAGCCGCCGUAAC
rnacentral:rRNA from 1 species